GAUGAACGCUGGCGGCGUGCCUAAUACAUGCAAGUCGAGCGAAUGGAUUAAGAGCUUGCUCUUAUGAAGUUAGCGGCGGACGGGUGAGUAACACGUGGGUAACCUGCCCAUAAGACUGGGAUAACUCCGGGAAACCGGGGCUAAUACCGGAUAACAUUUUGAACCGCAUGGUUCGAAAUUGAAAGGCGGCUUCGGCUGUCACUUAUGGAUGGACCCGCGUCGCAUUAGCUAGUUGGUGAGGUAACGGCUCACCAAGGCAACGAUGCGUAGCCGACAUGGGAGGGUCAUCGGGCACACUGGGAAUGAGACACGGCCCAGACUCCGACGGGAGGCAGCAGUAGGGAAUCUUCCGCAAUGGACGAAAGUCUGACGGAGCAACGCCGCGUGAGUGAUGAAGGCUUUCGGGUCGUAAACCUCUGUUGUUAGGGAAGAACAAGUGCUAGUUGAAUAAGCUGACACCUUGACGGUACCUAACCAGAAAGCCACGGCUAACUACGUGCCAGCAGCCGCCGUAA
rnacentral:rRNA from 1 species